AGCUCUCCGAGUGGUGUGGAUGUUUAUUGGGCCUAAAGCAUCCGUAGCUGGCUAAGUUAGUCCCUUGUUAAAUCCACCGAAUUAAUCGUUGGAUUGCGGGGGAUACUGCUUGGCUAGGGGACGAGAGAGGCAGACGGUAUUUUCGGGGUAGGGGUGAAAUCCUAUAAUCCCGGGAAGACCACCAGUGGCGAAGGCUGUCUGCUAGAACGCGCCCGACGGUGAGGGAUGAAAGCUGGGGGAGCGAACC
rnacentral:rRNA from 1 species